ACACUUACCUGGCAGGGGAGAUACCAUGAUCCCAAAGGUGGUUUAUCCAGGGCGAGGCUUAUCCAUUGCACUCCAGUUGUGCUGACCCCUGCAAUUUCCCCAAAUUCGGGAAAUUCGACUGCAUAAUUUGUGGUAGUGGGUGCACUGUGUUUGCGCUCUCCCCUG